UUUUUAACCAGUCACCAGCCAGCCCCCUAAUUCCAUAUCUUCCCAUUUUAUCUAGUAGAAUUGAAUGAUUAAUGGUAUCAAAUGCUUUCUUUAGAUCAGGGGUCACCAACGCGGUGCCCGCGGGCACCAGGUCGCCCGUAAGGACCAGAUGAGUCGCCCGCGGGCCUGUUCUAAAAAAAAAAAAAAUAAA